rnacentral:rRNA from 1 species
AUUGAACGCUGGCGGCAUGCUUUACACAUGCAAGUCGAACGGCAGCGCGGGCUUCGUCCUGGCGGCGAGUGGCGAACGGGUGAGUAAUGCAUCGGAACGUGCCCAGUAGUGGGGGAUAGCCCGGCGAAAGCCGGAUUAAUACCGCAUACGACCUGAUGGUGAAAGCGGGGGACCGAAAGGCCUCGCGCUAUUGGAGCGGCCGAUGUCGGAUUAGCUAGUUGGUGGGGUAAAGGCUUACCAAGGCGACGAUCCGUGGCUGGUCUGAGAGGACGACCAGCCACACUGGGACUGAGACACGGCCCAGACUCCUACGGGAGGCAGCAGUGGGGAAUUUUGGACAAUGGGGGCAACCCUGAUCCAGCCAUGCCGCGUGCGGGAAGAAGGCCUUCGGGUUGUAAAACGCUUUUGUUCGGGAAGAAAUCCUCUGGGCUAAUACCCCGGGGGGAUGACGGUACCGGAAGAAUAAGCACCGGCUAACUACGUG